GUCAGGCUUUGAGGAACAGAAUGUGAAAUGUACUGUUGUAGUGUUUAUACUGACACACUCAUGCAGACUCAUGUAGUUCCCUACUGCUUACAAGGUUUGAUAUUGUAUUUCUUACUAGUUUAAUAACUGUGGGGAAAAACUAUGUUUCCAUUCAUUCCUUGUAUACGAGGGAGAUUAUCUGCCUUGCCUUGAUCAGAAACUGAGAAACACUAGUACACUUACUUGAGCCUCACCAAAUGGAAAAAGAGCCUGACUGUCCCUUUAAACAAGCCUGCUACUGUACUGCUGUGUGUGUGUGUGUGUGUGUGUGUGUGUGUGUGUGUGUGUGUGUGUGUGUGUGUGUGUGUGUGUGUGAUGACUCACUGUAGUGUCAUGGUGGAUAUGCCAGCAGAGAGGCCUCCGCCGAGCUUGUUACAGAAGCAGGAGCAGGAGAAAAACAACGGCUCCAUCGCCUUGCAGCAAGGGUUUGCAACCAUGAACUCAUCCACCACGUCUGGCAACAUGGACCUCCAGAAACAUACACCAUCAAUUUGCCUUUCCUGCAAUUAAAAAAACUCUUCCAUGUCAUCAGAACUAAAGAGUUUGAACUCACAGGGUCAAGCGUGAGUCUGGAGUCUGUCUCAGAGGCUCAGGGCACAAAGAGGGGAACACCAUGGAUGGAUUGCGAAGUGUACACAUCAUUCAAACACUACAAACAAUUUAGAGACACAAUGCAUGUCUUUAGAUUGGGGAGGACACCAGAGUCCUCAGAGGAAACCCCUGUAUCAUGAGAAGAAUGCGAGAAUGAAGAGAAUCAAGCCCUCAGCUCAAAAUAUUGAUAUGUAAUUAUUUUUAUUCUGAAGUAAAAUCUUCCACAAUUUGCAUGGAUUUCUGUGAUGAAAUACACUCAGAUAGUCGGGAAAUGUUAAUGCAGACUUCACUUCAUGUAACGGGUCCAUCAUCUCCUUCACAGUUUGUUUUCCAGACUCUAUCCAGUGACUCAGCAGUCACUGUCCAUGGCAACUCUUACAGAACCACCACAAAAUUUUAGCAUUGCAGUUUGCACACACUGACACCAUAUCUUCUUGUCUGGUCUCAUAGCUUAUCUCUGGGUAAUCAUAAAUGCUGUUGUAAUGUCUGUUUCUCGUCUGUGUAAUAUGUGUCUACUGUCACUGUCUGAUCCUGCUGCAGUUUGUUUGUUGCACUGUAUUUUCUGCUGUUUAUUGCUGUUAAUUCCUGGGAGCACAAUCCAUAGGCAGAUAAAUGUUGCUGAUGUUCACAACUGUCCUUUAUAAUAUAACUUAUGACAGGACAGUUUUUUAUUCCUUUGCAAGAACAUUUUCAUUGUAGGAGCAAUUUUUCAUUGAGCUUUCUGAGUUUCACUCCCAAAGAAAUGGUUUCUGCUUGUAACUUUUUUGGUACACUUUUGUGCUUGGUACAUUCCUUAAUACAGUAUAUAACCGCUAAAAAGAUCCAGACAAUACUUGCUCAGUUCGAUAUGAUGCUGUAUUUCCCACUUACUGUAUGCAGUUGACAAACUGUUAGCAACAAGCAGACUGCAUUCGGGAAUUACAGUAUACACAAGUGACACAUUUGCCUCACACCUCCAGGGUUGGGGUUCAAUGCCUUCCGUGUGAAGUUUGCAUGUUCUCCCCAUUCCUUGGGGGUUUCCUCUGGGUUUCCUCCACCAGUCCAAAGGCAUGCACUGUAGGCUGAUUGGCAUCACUAAAUUUCCAUAGUAUGUUAUUGUGUGUGCUGUUCAGCCCUGGGAUAGUCUGGCAUCCUGUCCAGGGUGUAACCUGGUUUAUGGCCAGUGUCACGUUGCAUAGGCUCCAGGUUACACGCGACCCAGUAUGAUAAGCAGUGUGGAAAAUGGAUGGAAGCUCAUUGACACUUACCAAUAUAGCCAACAUGAGAUACUGGAACUGAGCUCCCAAUCCUGCCACAUGGAUGCAGAACAAAGCAAAGUUUCCUAAAGCCAUCUGAAAGUAGCAUAUGCAGCUCCAUCCAUGGACUACUACACUACUACUACUACUCUGAUCUGCUUGUGCAAAUGCCCUGACCUGGAAAGCAAUAGAGGUGAACAGGAAGCCAAGGACCAGUCGCUGAUACGAGACCUGGCCAACCAGUUUCUUCAGAUCAGCAAGGCAUGACGAGCAUCUCUCUAUCUCAAUAUCUGCAGACCCUAAAUAAAGCACAGUUUCAGAUGGGCAAAACAAGCAGCAAUCUUUAAUGCAAACAGAAAGUGACUUUGCUGCAUGAAUAUUAAGCUGGUUGUUUUACAUGACCACAUGAAAGGAUGACCUGCGAGACAUUGUCAGAGACAGUAAGAUGAAAUACCUCAGAAUUGUGAAUAGCACACUAACCACUUUGUUCUCUCACUCCCAGAAAGAGCACCAUACAGCAGAGGAAGAAGAGAGCGCACAGGAACAGAGCUGAAGUCAUGAAGGCCGCUUGCUGAUGAGGAACACACACACUUACUACACACACACAUAAAUAACCUUCUCAGCAGUCCACCGACUGAUAUGCAAAAUUUGUCCAUGCAUGUGUGGAAAGAGUGCAUCAUCGGAGGUGAUUGAUUCACAGCACAUCAGUGAUAAUGACAUGUUGGUACAGCAUCUUUGCUGGGGUUUUUGUCACUACAGGGUUGAGAUACAGUCCACCAACUAAAAAUAUCCUUCCUACAGCAGUGUUGACCACAGAUAAGGCAUGGAUAAUAAACACUUUGGAGGGAAAAGAAAGCUCUAGUCUCUAGCACUUCUGAAUGCUCGAUUCUGAUUGAUUAUCUCUAAGCAGUAGCUCUGAGGGCCAGGGUUAUAUUAAUACACUCCUUCUAAUAUUAUUAUAUUAUAUUAUAAUAGACUAAUAUACUAUUAUUAUUUUUUCUGUAGUAAAAACUCACACAGGGACUUGUAUGGCAGAUGCUGUUAGAAACAGAGGUGAAACUGUAGGAUUUCUAAAACGACAAGUCUAAGGUUGGCUGACUUUGUGGUUAUUAACAGUUACAGCAAGCUUAAUUUUUAAUGCUUAAGUGAAAGAAACAGGAGUCUGUUAAACUAACAAAUGUUUAAAGCUGGGAACUGAAUAAUUUAGUGGAACUACAGUAGCAUGGCAUUAAAUAUAUUCCUAAGCAGAGAAAAUGUACAUGUGAGAAAUUGCUGUAGUGUGGAGAAAUGAAACUCUUUGCAAUGCACUUAAAAAAAUAAACAGUGACAGAAUAGUGGGAUGUGAGAUGCGUCUCAAUCAACUCCCUAGUUCAAUAGUCAGAGCACUGAUCCGGGAGUCGAUCAUUUUAAGGGCUGUCUCUCACAAUCACAAAAUCCUUUCAGUCCACUAGAACAUUCGAUCCCUAAAAAAAAUCAAUGCAAAAUGAAUCAUGGCUCACUACGUUCCCUUACUGGAAAUGGCAUUAUUUGAAAUUCUAUAUACAGUUUGUUUAAAAAACAACUCAAGCUAGCAUACAAUCUUGUUUAAAGUACAAUGACAAAACCAGUGAUUAAGCUCACAAAUUUAUAUGACAAUUAAAAUGAAAUACUUUGUGUUUGGGUUUUUACAUUGAUUGAUGAGGAAAUUAAAACAUUGCUGAAAAUUGAGUCAACAGUGUCCAGUAGUGUAGUGAGACACUUACCAGUGCCCCAACUCGUGUACGCAAUAUACUUAUUCACAAACUAGGGAGCCGACCGAAACAAAGCUGUGGACUGACACAGGGUUAUUUGAAGAGUUGUGGGUUCUCAGCUCCUGAAUAAUGUGGAAUCCAGUCUGAAAGGGGAAACCUCUGGAUCUUACAUAAAACCGUGUUUUUGGGGGGGAUUUUGGAAAAUGUGAACCAGAAGGAACCUUAAGGGUUCUUGAUUUCACAAGGAGAUCUGGGGCAACUACAAAUGGAAAUAAUGGACAGUCACACGUUUCUCCCCAAAUACCCAAAUCCCACCUACUAACAUUGACAUUAAUUUUCUUGCCAUUUUUAUUUGCAGCAGGAACAUUUAAUUUGUAUUGAAACAAGACAAGGUCUAGGAACUUGCUGUUAAAUCUAUAGCUAACUAUGAAGUGCGUGUAGAUAUCUUACUAACGUUGCUACCAGUGAAACCACACCAGGAAACUAGAUGAUGAGAGUAGAGCAACUUCAGAUAAAAAAAAUCAAAAUAAAACUAUCACUCAAAUUAUAUAUAUAAAUAUACACUUUGUAUAUAAUUGUAUAUAAAUUUAACAUAGAAAAGGAUGGGAUCUGAUACAUGCACCAGAUGCAACUGCAUUAUGUGAUAUCUGACAUUAGAAGUUAUGCAUAUAGUCUAGUGAUUGAAGUCUAUUGUUGCUUUUUGUAUGCACUAUGGUGCGAGUGUGUGUUCAGUAGUUAUACCGUGUU